rnacentral:rRNA from 1 species
CAUUAGUUACCAUCAGGUAAGGCUGGGGACGUCUAAUGAGACUGCCAUCGUAAGAUGUGAGGAAGGUGGGGGAGUGACGUCAAAUCAGCACGGCCCUUACGUCCGGGGCGGACACACGUGUUACAAUGGGUGGGUACAAAGGGCAGCUACCUGGCGACAGGAUGCUAAUCUCCAAAACCACUCUCAGUUCGGAUCGGAGUCUGCAACUCGACUCCGUGAAGCUGGAUUCGCUAGUAAUCGCGCAUCAGCCACGGCGCGGUGAAUACGUUCCCGGGCCUU